AUUGAACGCUGGCGGCAUGCCUUACACAUGCAAAUCGAACGGUAACGGGCCUUCGGGUGCCGACGAGUGGCGAACGGGUGAGUAAUACGUCGGAACGUGCCCGAUCGUGGGGGAUAACGAGGCGAAAGCUUUGCUAAUACCGCAUACGAUCUACGGAUGAAAGCAGGGGACCGCAAGGCCUUGCGCGGACGGAGCGGCCGAUGGCAGAUUAGGUAGUUGGUGGGAUAAAAGCUUACCAAGCCGACGAUCUGUAGCUGGUCUGAGAGGAUGAUCAGCCACACUGGGACUGAGACACGGCCCAGACUCCUACGGGAGGCAGCAGUGGGGAAUUUUGGACAAUGGGCGCAAGCCUGAUCCAGCCAUGCCGCGUGCAGGAUGAAGGCCUUCGGGUUGUAAACUGAUUUUGUACGGAACGAAAAGCCUUCUUUUAAUACAGGAGGGUCAUGACGGUACCGUAAGAAUAAGCACCGGCUAACUACGUG
rnacentral:rRNA from 1 species